rnacentral:rRNA from 1 species
GUUGUGAGCUCGAUGAGUAGGGCGGGACACGUGGUAUCCUGUCUGAAUAUGGGGGGACCAUCCUCCAAGGCUAAAUACUCCUGACUGACCGAUAGUGAACCAGUACCGUGAGGGAAAGGCGAAAAGAACCCCGGCGAGGGGAGUGAAAAAGAACCUGAAACCGUGUACGUACAAGCAGUGGGAGCACAGGUUUACCUGUGUGACUGCGUACCUUUUGUAUAAUGGGUCAGCGACUUAUAUUCUGUAGCAAGGUUAACCGUAUAGGGGAGCCGGAGGGAAACCGAGUCUUAAUUGGGCGUUAAGUUGCAGGGUAUAGACCCGAAACCCGGUGAUCUAGCCAUGGGCAGGUUGAAGGUUGGGUAACACUAACUGGAGGACCGAACCGACUAAUGUUGAAAAAUUAGCGGAUGACCUGUGGCUGGGGGUGAAAGGCCAAUCAAACCGGGAGAUAGCUGGUUCUCCCCGAAAGCUAUUUAGGUAGCGCCUCGUGAAUUCAUCUCCGGGGGUAGAGCACUGUUUCGGCUAGGGGGCCAUCCCGGCUUACCAACCCGAUGCAAACUGCGAAUACCGGAGAAUGUUAUCACGGGAGACACACGGCGGGUGCUAACGUCCGUCGUGAAGAGGGAAACAACCCAGACCGCCAGCUAAGGUCCCAAAGUCAUGGUUAAGUGGGAAACGAUGUGGGAAGGCCCAGACAGCCAGGAUGUUGGCUUAGAAGCAGCCAUCAUUUAAAGAAAGCGUAAUAGCUCACUGGUCGAGUCGGCCUGCGCGGAAGAUGUAACGGGGCUAAACCAU